ensembl:miRNA
AGGUUGGGAUAGGCAGCAAUGCUCAUUACUUGUAUGGUAUUGCACUUGUCCCGGCCUGU